rnacentral:lncRNA from 1 species
UCAUAUUUCAGCCACCGUGGGCAACAUCAUCAUCGUAUACUAGCUGAUUAGGUGGUGGUGCAUAUAUAACAUCGUAACCUUUUUCCAUAUCCCAUAUACAUAUAUAUACAUAUAUACACGUAUAUAACGCCGUCUGAGUCAUAUUUCAGCCACCGUGGGCAACAUCAUCAUCGUAUACCAGCUGAUCAGGUGGUGGUACGUAUAUAACGCCGUAACCUUUUCCCAUAUCCCAUAUACAUAUAUAUACAUAUAUACGCAUAUAUAACGCCGUCUGAGUCAUGGGUCAAUGUACACGUAUAAAUGCAUAAAAUGCAUAUGAAAUAAGAUAACAAAAUCUCUCGGGACGUCAUAAGACCAUUAUACCUCUGAUUAAUAUCAUAAAAUCAUUUUACGUAUUUUCUAAGACCCAUGAACAGACGAUGGAAUAAUAAGACAUAUGGAGAUUCAAGAACAUAUACACUUUUAAUACUUCUAUGAAUAGAGUCACUUAUGAAAGUUGUGCCUUUUCUCGUUUCGCUUGUAUCAUAUGAAUCAUGCCAAAAGGAAAGAAGAGAUAGCCUUAACAUACCUGGAGUAGUGAAAAAUCCGUAUGAUAUUCUUGGAAAAAGAUUGCAAUAGAGGACUAAUCUCGCAAGUGUGAAGAAUCUAAAGUACAAUCACGACAACAAGAACCAAAUAAUGCUAUUAUCUUGAUUAAACAAAGGUCCAAUAACUAAACAGAAUUCGAUAUUGUAUUCAAGUCUACCUGUGGGAAAUUUAGAUGAUAACCAGCAUGAAGGAACCGCAACCGCAGAUGAAAAAGACACCAAUACAAGAAGAAUUUAAACUUUAUACAUUAAUGGUGUUGAAAAUAUUCUUACAAUCAAAGUAAUUACAGAUCAUCCUUUAUAACUAUAACCUGGAAUAAAAUGGCAGUUUACCAUAGUUUAAAUUCUAUGUAUCACCUGAUAAGCUUAGUUAGUAACUUAAUAAAAUCAAUGACCAACCUACUGUUGUAAGUUAAACUAUACUAAUCGUGUCAAAAAAUUAUAUAUUGUCAACAUAUGAUACUUAUAAAUUUAGUUAUUUGCUAUAACAAGUUAAACUAAGGUUUAAAAUAAAACUUUUCCCUAAAAAUGGAGUAGGAUUAGAUAAAAGUUUAACGGAAGACAACGUUACUAAUAAUUUCGCAUUGGAAAAGAUUUGACUGUUCCCCUUAAAAUUGUACUAAUUUAUUUUAAUCAAAUAAAGGCCUUUGCCUACACUUAUUAAUAUUCGUACAUACAUGUAGUUAUGUACCAACAGAGAUCAGAGAAGAAUGAGAAACCUGAAAUCGAUUCAAAUUCAUUAGCCAUAUCGACAUCAAUUUGGCCAGAAAGAUGAUUGAUUUUUGUUCUUCAAUUUUGUAAAAGAUUGAAACUUUUUGCCUUUUCUUGAAUACCCAAAUGAAGGAUUUGUGUAAAGAUUGAGUCUUUUGUUGUGAAAGAGUUGGGAGUUUUACUUGCAAGAGAGAAAAAUGGUAUUUUUUU